rnacentral:rRNA from 1 species
GACGAACGCUGGUGGCGUGCCUAAUACAUGCAAGUCGAGCGGACCAAUAGAAGCUUGCUUCUGUUGGUUAGCGGCGGACGGGUGAGUAACACGUGGGCAACCUGCCUGUAAGACUGGGAUAACUUCGGGAAACCGGAGCUAAUACCGGAUAAUUCAUCCCCUCGCAUGAGGGGAUGCUGAAAGUCGGUUUACGCUGACACUUACAGAUGGGCCCGCGGCGCAUUAGAUAGUUGGUGAGGUAAUGGCUCACCAAGGCGACGAUGCGUAGCCGACCUGGGAGGGUGAUCGGCCACACUGGGACUGAGACACGGCCCAGACUCCUACGGGAGGCAGCAGUAGGGAAUCUUCCACAAUGGACGAAAGUCUGAUGGAGCAACGCCGCGUGAGCGAUGAAGGCUUUCGGGUCGUAAAGCUCUGUUGUUAGGGAAGAACAAGUAUCGGAGUAACUGCCGGUACCUUGACGGUACCUAACCAGAAAGCCACGGCUAACUACGUGCCAGCAGCCGCCGUAA